rnacentral:rRNA from 1 species
AAGGCGAGGCCGAAAGGCGUAGUCGAUGGGAAACAGGUUAAUAUUCCUGUACUUGGUGUUACUGCGAAGGGGGGACGGAGAAGGCUAUGUUGGCCGGGCGACGGUUGUCCCGGUUUAAGCGUGUAGGCUGGUUUUCCAGGCAAAUCCGGAAAAUCAAGGCUGAGGCGUGAUGACGAGGCACUACGGUGCUGAAGCAACAAAUGCCCUGCUUCCAGGAAAAGCCUCUAAGCAUCAGGUAACAUCAAAUCGUACCCCAAACCGACACAGGUGGUCAGGUAGAGAAUACCAAGGCGCUUGAGAGAACUCGGGUGAAGGAACUAGGCAAAAUGGUGCCGUAACUUCGGGAGAAGGCACGCUGAUAUGUAGGUGAAGUCCCUUGCGGAUGGAGCUGAAAUCAGUCGAAGAUACCAGCUGGCUGCAACUGUUUAUUAAAAACACAGCACUGUGCAAACACGAAAGUGGACGUAUACGGUGUGACGCCUGCCCGGUGCCGGAAGGUUAAUUGAUGGGGUCAGCGCAAGCGAAGCUCUUGAUCGAAGCCCCGGUAAACGGCGGCCGUAACUAUAACGGUCCUAAGGUAGCGAAAUUCCUUGUCGGGUAAGUUCCGACCUGCACGAAUGGCGUAAUGAUGGCCAGGCUGUCUCCACCCGAGACUCAGUGAAAUUGAACUCGCUGUGAAGAUGCAGUGUACCCGCGGCAAGACGGAAAGACCCCGUGAACCUUUACUAUAGCUUGACACUGAACAUUGAGCCUUGAUGUGUAGGAUAGGUGGGAGGCUUUGAAGUGUGGACGCCAGUCUGCAUGGAGCCGGCCUUGAAAUACCACCCUUUAAUGUUUGAUGUUCUAACGUGGACCCGUGAUCCGGGUUGCGGACAGUGUCUGGUGGGUAGUUUGACUGGGGCGGUCUCCUCCUAAAGAGUAACGGAGGAGCACGAAGGUUGGCUAAUCCUGGUCGGACAUCAGGAGGUUAGUGCAAUGGCAUAAGCCAGCUUGACUGCGAGCGUGACGGCGCGAGCAGGUGCGAAAGCAGGUCAUAGUGAUCCGGUGGUUCUGAAUGGAAGGGCCAUCGCUCAACGGAUAAAAGGUACUCCGGGGAUAACAGGCUGAUACCGCCCAAGAGUUCAUAUCGACGGCGGUGUUUGGCACCUCGAUGUCGGCUCAUCACAUCCUGGGGCUGAAGUAGGUCCCAAGGGUAUGGCUGUUCGCCAUUUAAAGUGGUACGCGAGCUGGGUUUAGAACGUCGUGAGACAGUUCGGUCCCUAUCUGCCGUGGGCGCUGGAGAACUGAGGGGGGCUGCUCCUAGUACGAGAGGACCGGAGUGGACGCAUCACUGGUGUUCGGGUUGUCAUGCCAAUGGCACUGCCCGGUAGCUAAAUGCGGAAGAGAUAAGUGCUGAAAGCAUCUAAGCACGAAACUUGCCCCGAGAUGAGUUCUCCCUGACCCUUUAAGGGUCCUGAAGGAACGUUGAAGACGACGACGUUGAUAGGCCGGGUGUGUAAGCGCAGCGAUGCGUUGAGCUAACCGGUACUAAUGAACCGUGAGGCUUAACCUU